rnacentral:rRNA from 1 species
AGGGAACGCUGGCGGCAGGCCUAACACAUGCAAGUCGAGCGGAUGAAGGGAGCUUGCUCCUGGAUUCAGCGGCGGACGGGUGAGUAAUGCCUAGGAAUCUGCCUGGUAGUGGGGGAUAACGUCCGGAAACGGGCGCUAAUACCGCAUACGUCCUGAGGGAGAAAGUGGGGGAUCUUCGGACCUCACGCUAUCAGAUGAGCCUAGGUCGGAUUAGCUAGUUGGUGGGGUAAAGGCCUACCAAGGCGACGAUCCGUAACUGGUCUGAGAGGAUGAUCAGUCACACUGGAACUGAGACACGGUCCAGACUCCUACGGGAGGCAGCAGUGGGGAAUAUUGGACAAUGGGCGAAAGCCUGAUCCAGCCAUGCCGCGUGUGUGAAGAAGGUCUUCGGAUUGUAAAGCACUUUAAGUUGGGAGGAAGGGCAGUAAGUUAAUACCUUGCUGUUUUGACGUUACCAACAGAAUAAGCACCGGCUAACUUCGUG